ACAAAUUAUUUGUUACUAAAUUGAUUUUACGUGGCUACAUAAGGUAGGCAAUAAUAAAGCAUGUUACUGUUAUUGGAGCGAAAGAGGUAAUUUUUUUAAUUGUUUAAUUAGCAAUACUUGUUGAUAAUAUAAUAAACAUUAAGGAACAUGGUAACGUGUUAAUAACAGAGGAAUUAAAAUAGAAAUCGAGCAUAAGUCACAAGACAUCUAAGCGAAAUAUUAUGUAAUAUGUAAAAAGAAAAUGGGAAAAUGAGGAAUGUUACUAAAUUCAGUAAAUACUUAGAUCGUCCUCAUUUUCUAUUACAUUUUAUUAUAGCCACUAUUUUUUUUUUGCUUCUAUAUAAUUCUAAAAUUAUUAACAUCCAAUCCUUUAUGUAAAAACAGACACAAAGGAAAACGUGCAAGGCAAAAUCAUGUGACAUCACAAACAAAGCGACGCCAUCUGUUGUUAUAAACCCGCUGCCCGCCUGGUCACUACUCAGCUGUGUUAUUUUCACCAUUUUCACCCCAUUUCUUUGACUGUGAUCCUUAAUUCUUGGCUCAGAAGAGGAAACAGGGACCAGUCAGCACCGCCGCCGUCCUUGUGGAAGGAGUGUCUGGCCCUUUGCUGAACCACAGCAAUCCAUCAUCAGUGGUGAUGCAGCCAUCAGAUCCUCACCUACCGGUGUUGCUGGAUCUGGUGGUUGUUGCUAUGGGAGAGUCAUCGUCAUUACUGACAGUGAAUGAGGACCUGACUCUCCAAGUCAUCCAUCAUACAGAUAUGUCCCCUACGGCAGAACUUGAGCAGGUGCAGCAAUUUAUAGUGAAUCUGAAGGAGAUAUGAUGAGACCUCCUGUAUGGACUAGUGAAAGCACAAAGGAAGUUGGAGACAGGCACAAUGGGAAGAGGUAGCAGGCAUAACAGGAGCUGAUGGCUGGCACAACGAGAACUGGUGGCAGGCACAACGUGAGCUGGUGGCAGGCACAACGGGAGGUGGUGGCAGGUACAACGGGAAGUGUUGGAGUCUCAGAAGCAGUCUGCUCAAAUACAAAGAAAAUUUUUUUGAUUUAUUUAGGCAGUUUAUGGUUCAUGCCACUGAGUGCUUUAAGACCAACACUAAACAUUAUCCCUUUGCUGAAAAUUUUAAAAAAAUAUAUAGUGAUAUUUAGUUCUUUUUUACUUUACCUUGUUUAUAUUAAUACAUUAUCAUACUAAAGCAUUUCACCAUUCCUUUGUGCUGUGAUUCGUGAUAGUGUUAGUUAACUGUGAUAUCUACAAUGUCUUAGUAUUAAUUACUUAAAAGCACAAAGUAACUGCCAUCUGUGUAGGUAAGCUUGAAGUUUUUUACGGUGACCUGAUGGGUUUUUUGUUCAUAUGUUUACCUAAUUGAGGUGUACAGUCCUUGAGCUAUACUCUCUUAUGUGGAUAAGUGUUUUUUUUUUUUCUCCACAUUUGCCACCAAAUACUUUGAUACUUGCUGAUUAUUUUAUUUGUCAAUAAAAAUCUACUAUUGCUGUU